rnacentral:rRNA from 1 species
AUUGAACGCUGGCGGCAUGCCUUACACAUGCAAGUCGAACGGCAGCACGGACUUCGGUCUGGUGGCGAGUGGCGAACGGGUGAGUAAUAUAUCGGAACAUACCCUAGAGUGGGAUAACGUAGCGAAAGUUACGCUAAUACCGCAUACGAACUAAGGUUGAAAGCGGGGGAUCUUCGGACCUCGUGCUCAUGGAGUGGCCGAUAUCUGAUUAGCUAGUUGGUGAGGUAAAGGCUCACCAAGGCGACGAUCAGUAGCUGGUUUGAGAGAACGACCAGCCACACUGGGACUGAGACACGGCCCAGACUCCUACGGGAGGCAGCAGUGGGGAAUUUUGGACAAUGGGCGCAAGCCUGAUCCAGCAAUGCCGCGUGCAGGAAGAAGGCCU